AAUAAUGUAUUUUUUUUUCCUACAAAUUGAAAGAAAGAAUAAAUAAAAAAACAUAGAUGAUUUUUUUGGGAUGUUUGGAAUAGUUAAAAUGGACCAGCAAUUUCGUAUGGGAGGAGAAUUAAACUAGUUGUAACCAAAAUAAAUUUGUCAAAUAAGAGAAGCAUCCAUAUUCGCUUGCACUAUCAAUAGAUUAAUAUGCGUUUUACAUCACUUUAAUACAUUUUAAGUUUGUUUUGGUGAUUUCCUAGUCAAUGGUGGAUCGUGUUUAAUUUGUGGUGAAUUCACAGAGUAUCAUGGAUGCUUGAUACUCUACCAACCAUUCAGGAACAAACAUCACCGAUUUCCAGUGGUAUAAGAAACACGCUAACAAGUUUUAGGAUUCAACACCUAAGGCAUAUGAACUGGGUUAGGGUUGGGUUGCUUCUUUUUUUUUUUUUCCCUUACUAAUGGUGAAUUGGUUGGCUACGGGGUCCUGUGGUUUUUGUCCGUUUUGAUUUUCGACAGGAAGAAGGAAAAAAGAAAAGAAAAAGGGAAUCCUUUUGUGUGUCUAAUUGAUUAUUAUAUUGAUUGCAGAAUUGAUUGGCAUAAAGCAAAUUCGUACUGGUUUAAUUGAAUAAAAUGAACAAUUCAUAAUCUCUGUCAUGUUAUGUUAUCAAUCCUAAGCAAAUUCUUUUCCAUUUUGAGGGCUAAAUCUCCUCUAGACCUUAUUCAAGUGCCAAACAACAUUUUAAGUGUGAAGCAUUAGCACUUUAUCUGAAUCACUUGAUCUUUAGCAUUGUCAAAUUAAUUUUUUAUUUGAAAUGUUACUGCAAUAGUCGUUUGACCAUAAGAUGUGAAAUAAAACCCUGUUUAUAGAUGAGGGCUUAUUAGGGUUAUAUUUUAAGCCUGGCUAAGAAAGAUUUAUACAAGUCAACUAAAAUUUGGGAUAUACGUAGAUCAUGGGAUAUACGUAGAUUUUGUUCCCUAGGAAUGGCACUGUAUAGUUACCAAAAAGCAUGACAUUUUGCAUUUCAACUGCAGUAAACUUUCACCAGAGUAAAUGUUCCCAUAGAGUGGCUGCGAUGAUUUUUUUCCACGGCGAAGCAUGGCUGGUAUUAAGGGCGAUACAUGUUAGAUUAGCACAAUAAAGCAAUCUGCAAGGACCCAACUGAUUCAAAGGAAGUUCCACCGCUCGAUGUACCAGAACUUUUGGCAUAUUUAGUUAGGCAAUCUGGGCCAUUCUUGGAUCAAAUUGGUGUUAGAAGAGGUAAGCAAUUCUCUUGAGUUUUGAUUUUGAUCUUAUAAUGAAGUGAUCAAUAAAGGUAUAUAUAUAUAUAUAUAUAUUUAUGUAUAGAAAUACACAUAGUUUAGUUCCUAUUAAUGGGGUUCUAGGUACAGAGCUGACCUUUAAUCAUUAUGUACAAAGUAGCUGCCUUGUAUUCACACUCACUACUUCAAGGUUAUUAGGCCUGAAUUUAAAACCACUAAACCAAUCGUCCCCUUUAAAGUACACCCACUUCAGUCCCAAUUAGUGGAAUAUGUAUAUAUGUUUGUCACGAUAAUUUGUAUUGAGGAUGAUUGAUGUAGUUUCAUAUAUGUCAUGUGACAAAAUCUUUGCUUCACAACUUUAGAUGGUCCUUUAGAUAAGCUUUACUACACCAAUUGAAACUAGUUUGCAAUUCUUAGGCAGAAGUAAAAUUCAGGACUGCAGCCUUAUGUAAUACAGAUGCCUUACAAUUGAAAUUAUCAGAAAUGUGCUACAAAUUUAAACACCAGAACUACAUUACAAAAUGGUUUUUUUCUUUAUCAAUGUAUGAUUGUCUGCUUUUUGCUAUAUUCUAGAACUAUCUGAUGCUUUAAGAAAAUUAACGAUGUGGAUUUGGUAUAUAGAAAGAUUCAGGGGAAUAACUGACCUGUUGGUUCCCCUUAUUUAGAUGGUUGGGUUAUGUGAGUUCACAGGUAUUAGAUAAGCAGGCAACAAGUAUCAAAACUUGAAAUUUUUUAUCUAGAACUGUCUUUGAGGGUCCGUUUGGGGUUGCUAGACCUAUUUGAAGGUGCUUAUUUAGGUACGCUGACAAAAUCAGCUGGGAAUGUGUUAGGCAAAGGUUGUUUAAAAAGUGCUACAAUUGGGUCACAUAUAGAAUUAUAACUUUUGCCAGGGGCCAAGUUUUAAAGUUAAUAUACUACAAUGCAAGUAUUUUUUUUAAUUUUUUUUUGUUGAUAAAUUCUUUUUUUGUUGUUGAUAAAUUCAAUGCAAGUAUCAGUGGGCCCAAAACAACCAAUAAGCUAAGAGGCAUGAUUGGAUGUUUUUCUGAAAAAAGCUAACUUUUUGUUUAAUUUGAAGUAGAUCCACUUUAACCAAAUGCCACAAAUGGAGUUAUCUUGGUUCUAGUGUGGUUUGACUUGGAAAAUUUUAAAUUGUUCCAAUUGACAAUAUGGAAGCAGCGUGUCAUUUGGAGGUCUGAAGGGCUGUUCUUAUAUUAAGUAUUCCACAUGCUAUUUGUAAUAUUUGGUUUAUUUUCAAGGAAUAGUUCCAUGGUUUA